rnacentral:lncRNA from 1 species
ACAAAAAAAAGGUUGAAAACCACCAGUUAAUCAAAAUAAACGGUAAGCUGUCUGAUUUCGACUUGGUGUCCCUGAAAUGUCCACAGGGUGUGUGUUCCCGCCUCGAGGAAGGUGUGAGUAAUGAGGAACAUUUUGGCCAGUUGCUGCAGGACUGCCACCACAAACUGACUUCCCUGCAGGAAAGGAUGUCAGCCUGUCAAGCUCAGACAGAAAGCUCAGCUGGACUGAUCACAGCUCUGGAGGCUUUGCUUAAAGAAGUUGCAGACGUAGAUAAAGAACUUUUACAGAUUGAAACACUGAAGAACUCGGUCACAGCCAGUUCCACAGCCGAGGCCCAGGCCAGCUUCUCCCAGCAGGUUGACAACCUCCAAAACCACAAGAGGGCGCUAGACAGCAGCAUCAGAGAUAAUCUGGCGCUGCUCAGAGACAACGGCAAUCAGAGAGCUCACCAAGUGGAGGAAGAGGUCUCCUGUGUACAGACUGCACUGAAAGACCUGGCUGAAAAUGUUUCAAAUCUAUGUGAGAGCUGUGGAGCGUUGCCUGAUAUCAGCCAGCUCAAAGUGCAGUGGAACACAAUACAGGUAUUGUGAAAAGAUCCGUCAAAAUGUUGCUUUUCUCUGAGUAAAAGUAUAACAAGUUCACAGACUUAUCCACACACUCACAGUGUCAUCGGAGGAGCAUUUAUCUCUCUCUCUCUCUCUCUCUCUCUCUCUCUCUCUCUCUCUCUCUCUCUCUCUCUCUCUCUCUCUCUCUCCCUCCCUCUCUCUCUCUCUCAGGACUGUGAUACCAGGCUGACAGAGUUGGCUACAAGCGUUUCCGGCCUGCUGAAAACUGGAGACUUGAGCAUCACACAAGAAACACUUCCCGCAAAGGUCAAUUUGUCUGUUGAAGCAGUUGCUAAAGACCUUGACAGGUAUUUAACCUUGUUUCAAAACAAAUAAGUCACAUUCUUCACAUUGAGAUACUAAAUAAAAAGCUUUUGGAACCAGUUGGUCAACACUACGACAA